UUGUUGUUGUUGUUGUUGUUUGUUUCUUUUGUAGGUCAAAAGAGGUUGAGAGUGAAUAAAACUGGUAUAUUGAAGAAGAUGAGAGGAGCUGGGUAACCGGAUCUCCCUGAAUGGAAAUCGUCCUUCGAAGACUCUUUGGCAUUCAACUCAGCAAACCUUAUUUUGGAAAAAAAAAAUGGUCAUUUAUAAUAUCAACAUUUCUAGAUCAUGUUUUAAAGACAGCUACAGGCGCAUGGAGCAGCUACAUGCCAAGGCUGUCUACUUCUGAUCUAACAGCCCCCUAGGUUGAAACCAGAGUGAGACUUAGAGACAGCGGCCAAGAGCCCCAAAACUCUUGGGGAAUAUUUAUAAUCCCUGAAUUCAACCAAAAUUGUUUCCACUCAAAAUUAAUACUUGGAAACAGAUUUUAAAACCCAAAUUUAGACGCUGUCUACAGUUUUUUGGUCUGCUGUGGAGCCAGCUUUGUGAAAUAAAUGCAUUUGAAGCUGA